GAUGAACGCUGGCGGCGUGCCUAAUACAUGCAAGUCGAGCGAACGGACGAGAAGCUUGCUUCUCUGAUGUUAGCGGCGGACGGGUGAGUAACACGUGGAUAACCUACCUAUAAGACUGGGAUAACUUCGGGAAACCGGAGCUAAUACCGGAUAAUAUUUUGAACCGCAUGGUUCAAAAGUGAAAGACGGUCUUGCUGUCACUUAUAGAUGGAUCCGCGCUGCAUUAGCUAGUUGGUAAGGUAACGGCUUACCAAGGCAACGAUGCAUAGCCGAACUGAGGGGGGGAUCGGCCACACUAGAGCUGGGACGCGGUCCAGAGUCCUACGGGAAGGAGCAGUAGGGAACCGUCGGCAGUGGGCGAAAACCUGGCAGAACAACGCGACGUGAGAGGUGGAGGUCUUCGGUGCGUGAAGCUCUGUUAUGAGGGAAAAACAUAUGUGUAAGUAAAUGUACAGAGCUUGACGGUACCUAGUCAAAAAGCCACGGCUAACUACGUG
rnacentral:rRNA from 1 species